rnacentral:rRNA from 1 species
AUAACCUGCGCGGCAUACACAUGCAAUCGACCGGUUGAGCUUAUGAAUUCUCGGGAUGAUUAAUGGAUAUGCGAACGGUGAUAACACGUGAGUAACCGGCCUUACACAAGGGGAUAGCCUUUGGANACGAAGAUAUACCCUAUACGUCAAAUAUCGCAUGAUAGAGUGACCAAAGAUUUAUCGGUGUAAGAUGGACUUGCGUCUGAUUAGCUAUUGGUGAGAUAAAAGCCCACCAAGGCAACGAUCAGUACCGGCUUGAGAGAGUGUACGGCCACAUUGGGACUGAGACACGGCCCAAACUCCUACGGGAGGCAGCAUGGGGAAUUUUGCACAAUGGGGGAAACCCUGAUGCAGCGACGCCGCGUGAUUUAGAAGGCCUUCGGGUUGUAAAAAUCUUUUUUAUGGGAUGAAAAUGACAGUACCAUAAGAAUAAGGUCCGGCUAAAUACGUGCCAGCAGCCGCGGUAAUACGUAUGGACCGAGCGUUGUCCGGAAUCAUUGGGCGUAAAGGGUACGUAGGCGGCCUAGUAAGUUAGAAGUGAAAUAAUAUAGCUCAACUAUAUAAAGCUUUUAAAACUGUUAGGCUUGAGAGAUGAAAGGGAAAGUGGAAUUCCUAGUGUAGCGGUGAAAUGCGCAGAUAUUAGGAAGAAUACCAGUGGCGAAGGCGACUUUCUGGUCAUCCUCUGACGCUGAGGUACGAAAGCGUGGGUAGCAAGCAGGAUUAGAUACCCUGGUAGUCCACGCUGUAAACGAUGAGUGUUAGGUUCUUGGAAUAAUUCUGGGAGCCGCAGCUAACGCAUUAAACACUCUGCCUGGGGAGUACGCACGCAAGUGUG